UACGUAGGGGGCGAGCGUUGUCCGGAUUCAUUGGGCGUAAAGGGCUCGUAGGCGGUUUGUCGCGUCGGGAGUGAAAUCCACUGGCUUAACUGGUGGCUUGCUUUCGAUACGGGCAGACUGGAGGUAUGCAGGGGAGAACGGAAUUCCUGGUGUAGCGGUGAAAUGCGCAGAUAUCAGGAGGAACACCGGUGGCGAAGGCGGUUCUCUGGGCAUGUCCUGACGCUGAGGAGCGAAAGUGUGGGGAGCGAACAGG
rnacentral:rRNA from 1 species